AAUGGGGGCAACCCUGAGGGAGCAACGCCGCGUGCGGGAGGACGGCCUUAGGGUUUUAAACCCCUUUUUUCAGGGAAGAAGUACUGACGGUACCUGAGGAAUAAGCCUCGGCUAACUCCGUGCCAGCAGCCGCGGUAAGACGGAGGAGCCAAGCGUUAUCCGGAAUUAUUGGGCGUAAAGCGUCCGCAGGCGGCUAUUUAAGUUUGCUGUCAAAGCCCACAGCUCAUCUGUGGAUAGGCAGUGGAAACUGAGUAUCUUCAGUGC
rnacentral:rRNA from 1 species